GGCAAGAAUUUUUGCGAAAACACCCAAAGUGACCUUUCAACAAGAAUGGAUGUUUGGGUUGUUUACACUGACCGAGGAAGAUGGCACACAGAUGCUUCUGUUGCUGCUGCCUGGACAUGUGCGACUAUGUCUGCAACUUCUCCUCAGAUGAAAGCGGUGAGGACAGUGAGAAAAAACACCGCCAUUUUGAGCUUUAACUCGAUCCUGCUGAGGAUGUUUGUGAUGAACAGAAAGUGAUGGUGAUGCCGCACCACCACCACCACCACCACCACUGACUGACCCAGAUGAGGAAGAAAUGAAUGAAGAGAGGAAGCUCAGAGCAUGACAGACUGUUCUGGGGCAAACCUCUCAUGUACAUGAUUGCAGAUGAACGUAUGGUGCCUUGCAAAGGAUUUCACAGUACGUGAGGUUUGCUACUUGUGGACACAGAGCCUACAGAAGACCCCUGCAAAGACAGCAUGUGGAGUCAUCUGCAUGCUACUGCUGGACGCCAAAAGCCCUUUGGAAGUGCAAAGAAUGUGAUGUCAACCUUUGCCUUCAACAAGACACAAACUGUUUUCAAGCUUGGCAUCUUGAUCAAGGCUGAAAAGAUAAGAUGGAACUUUAUUCAUCCCAAAAUGUUGUAUUAUUCCAGGAAUUUAGUGUGAUUGCACUUUCAGUUCAUCAAAAUGUCAUCCAUUGUAUGUUUGGGGUUGAUCACAGCAUUUUCAAUAA